rnacentral:rRNA from 1 species
GACGAACGCUGGCGGCGUGCUUAACACAUGCAAGUCGAACGGAACGGCCCUGCUUUUGUGGGGUGCUCGAGUGGCGAACGGGUGAGUAACACGUGUGUAAACUGUCCUUGACUUUGGGAUAACUUCAGGAAAAUGGGGCUAAUACCGGAUAGGAGCCCCUGCUGCAUGGUGGGGGUGGGAGAGAUUCGGCGGUUGGGGAUGGGAUCGCGGCUUAUCCGCUUGUCGGUGGGGUAGUGGCUUACCACGGCUUUGACGGGUAGCCGGGCCGAGAGGGUGAGCUGCCAGGUUGGGACUGAGAUGAGGCCCAGCCUCGUACGGGACGGGACAGAGGGGAAUAGUGCACUGUGGGCGGAAGCCUGACGCAACGACGCCACGUGGGGGAUGACGGCCAGCGGGUUGUAUACCGCUUUCGCCUGUUACGAGGCGAGAAUGACGGUACUGGGUAAGGAAGCACCGGCUAACUACGUG